rnacentral:lncRNA from 1 species
CUGUCUUUGUUAUUCUAGCAAACCAAUUGAAGCUGAGCACAACUUCAAUUUAUCAAUGGUUACUGCCUUUGUAAACAUAUCGGCUGAGUUCUUGCUUCCUUGGAUCUUCUCAAGUUGUAAGAUCUUCAUCUCCAGCAGGUGACGGAUGUAGUGAUACUUCAACUCAAUGUGCUUUGUCCUUGAGUGAAACGCUGGAUUUUUAGCCAAGAAAAUAGCACUUUGACUGUCACUAAAGAGUGUACUAUUCUCAUGCUUCUUCCCAAGUUCUCCCAAGAAAUUCUGCAACCAUACCAUCUCCUUGCUUGCUUCCGUCACGGCUACAUACUCAGCUUCCGUAGUAGACAACGUGACAAUCUUCUGCAACUUAGAAGACCAAGAAAUAGCAGUACCACCAAAAGUAAAUACAUACCCGGUUGUACUCUUCCGACCUUCCAGGUCAUUGAUGCCAAAUCUGCAUCAACAUAGCCAACCAACUUGGACACUCUUGCCAUCAAAACAUAAAACCUUGUCCGUGGUACCUCUUAAGUAACGAAGAAUCCACUUGACUGCUUCCCAAUGUUGCUUGCCCGGAUCACCCAUGAAUCGGCUUACUACUCCCACUGCAUGCGCAAUAUCUGGCCUUGUACACACCAUGGCGUACAUAAUGCUGCCUAUUGCCGAUGCAUAAGGAACUCUUAUCAUCUCGGCACGUUCCUCCUUUGUACAUGGCGACUCCUUCUUCGACAGCUUGAAGUGACAACCCAACGGGAUGUUCACCGGCUUCGAAUUCUGCAUGUUAAAUCUUUCCAAUACCUUCUCAAUGUAGUUGGCUUGUGAAAGAUACAACUUUCCUGCCGCCUUGUNGGGUAUGCUGCGCUCAAGCUCAACAUGAGUAAGGCGUACGACAGAAUUGAAUGGGACUACCUUGAAGCGAUUCUGAGGAAGCUGGGAUUUCCGGACAGACUUUGCACACUUAUCAUGAGGUGUGUACGAACUGUUUCAUUUUCUUUCCUGCUGAACCGUACUGUUUAUGGGGUUUUCAAACCAUCGAGAGGUUUGAGGCAGGGUGAUCCGCUCUCACCUUUCCUCUUCAUGAUCUGUGCUCAAGGCUUUUCCUCACUACUCAAGCACUAUGAGAGGAGAAACAUGAUUAGCGGAGUUCCGAUCAUCCCAAGGCAACUUAACAUUACUCACCUUUUCUUUGCGGACGAUAGUCUGUUGUUUUUUUGAGCAGUUCGUGGGGAGGCUGAAACGGUUAAGAAGAUCUUUUAUAGCUAUCAAAGGGCAUCAGGUCAACUUAUCAAUCUUCAAAAAUCAUCUCUAUCUUUCAGCCCGAACACCUCAGCUGGCUUUGAGAGAGAGGUUAUGGAUGUAUUGGCUGUGAAAUCAGGAGAGGGUAUCCAACGCUACCUUGGGUUGCCUUCGUUUUCUCUAAGGAAUAAACGCCUCCAAUUUGGCUACUUGCUUGACCGUGUGAGAAGAAGCUUGCCGGAUGGAGCCAACGGGAUUUCUCAGCUGGGGGAAAUGAGGUUCUGAUUAAAGCCGUUGUUCAAGCGGUUCCGACAUAUGCGAUGCAAUAUUUUCGAAUACCUGAUGCAAUUUGUGACGGAAUUCAUAGGCUUUGUGCGGGUUUCUGGUGGGGUGAUAAGGAGGAUAAAAGAAGGAUGCAUUGGGCUCGAUGGGAAAGACUCUGCCGACCGAAAGACAAAGGCGGAAUGGGGUUUAGAAACCUUAAAAACUUCAACAAGGCGUUGUUGGCAAAACAAAUCUGGCGUAUGAUUUAUAAUCCUUCUUCGCUUAUCGCGAGGUUUUUAAGGCUAGAUAUUUCAGUGAUCGAACAAUCAUGCAGGCUAGGUCCUCCAACUCUUCCUUUAUCUGGCGGUCGCUUGCGUGGAGCCGGUCUGUUGUGGACGCGGGUUGUAUCUGGAAGGUCGGAAAUGGCAUGAAUAUUAGUGUGAUGAAUGAUAUUUGGGUGAAGGACCUUCAUGGUGCUAGAAUCAAAGGCAGAGAUGAAGAUAGCUUGAAUGGAAUGAUGGUUGCUGAUUUCAUUAAUGAUGAGAAUGACUGGAAGGUGGAAAUGCUGGAAAAACACUUACAGCCGAAUGAGAUUGAAGGUGUCUUGCGAACCCCAAUUCUGGAACAUGGAGAAGAUGAUCGGAUCAGCUGGAAGUUUGACCAUCAUGGGAGGUUUUCUGUCAAGUCGGCAUAUUUGCUUGAUAUGGAUUAUUAUACCCCUCACCCUAACUACAAGUGGGAAGAUAAGAACAUAUGGAGUAGACUUAUUGGAGCAACUCCUACCACCGAAGGUUAAGGUUUUAUUUGGAGAGCCUUCUCGAACUUGAUUCCUACAGAAGCAAAUCUUCGAGCACAUCAUGUGCCUUCUGAUGGCAUUUGCUGCAUUUGUGUGGAUAGAUGGGGAUCCCCUGAGCAUGCUUUGAUUUUCUGCCCGAUGGUGCGGGAAAGCUGUAAACACUCUCGAUUCUGGAAUACUCUUUGCCGAGCGAAAGGGCUGACUUUGCUUGAUGUCGCGGAGGCAAUCUGGGGAGAGUUGGAAAAAGAUGACUAUGAAUUAUGGUGUGUCAUGCUUCGGAGUUUUUGGACCUUUAUUUGUAAAACCAGACAUGGCAAUGGAGAGAAAACUGAGAAGCCAACGGAGCAUUCUUGUGUGGCGUUGCUGGAGGCUUUCAAAGAUGCUCAGCCUUCCUAUAUUGUUGAUAGAUUCGUGGGAGUUAAGAUUGGGAAAAAGAAAUGGGAAAGACCGCAGAGAGGUCGGUUUCGAGUUGAUGUUGAUGCGCUUUUUGAUAGCCAUUGUAAUGUUUAUGGAGCUGGAGUGAUUGUCCGAAAUGCUGAUGGAAAAAUUGUUGUUGCUGCUAUGAAGAAGUUGAGGGUGAUGUCUUCGGUUAUGAUGGGGGAAUUGAUGGCAGUUGUCCAAGGAAUUAUUGUUUGUGUGGAGCAGGAUUUAACACCCUUUGAGAUUUACACGGAUUCAAUUCUUGCAGCGAGGGUGAUGGCGAACGAAGGAGAAGAGAAGCAAUUUCUUCCCGAUGACCUUUGUGAAAUUUUGCAGGUUGCAAGGGAGAAUAGUUUGAUUAGUGUGUGAAUCAUGUGUAUAGAGAAGCUAAUAUGGCUGCUCAUAGACUCGCUCAAUUGGCUCGUGAAUGUCCGUCCUCUUUUUGUUGGACAUCGGGGUUUCCUGCUUGGCUCAGGGAGUGUGUUUCGUUUGAUGUCUCUUGAUAUAUAACACGUCUUCUUUCUCAAAAAAAAGUUUGUAUCUUUCUUUUUGUUUUUGGGUAAAAAGUUUGUAUCUAAUAUAUGAGCUUUGUAACAUUUGUUCUUCCAAUUUAUGAUUAUGAGUUACGUUGUCAGAAAUUACGCAUCUUUGUAUCCAAUAAAUUAAUUCCCAACAGCACACAAAGAAUAGCAUUCUAUAGCUUCACCUAUCGCAUUCAAGACUCAAACUGAACAACUAGACAUGCAAACUAUUUUUUUUUUUGAUCAGUGAAAGAGAAAUUUUAUUGACAAUGAAAAGAGAGAACCCAAGGUACCAGGGAUACCAAGAGUAUUACAAAANAAAAAGUUUGUGUUCACAAGAACACCAAAAGGAGAAGGGAACAUUGACAUCCACAAAUUGGUAAAUCUUGUUCUAACUCCAAACUCUACCCUUAAACUCCAAAACAAGCUUCUUAGCAUCCCACACCCUACCCUCAAACCUGCUCUCGUUUCUAUAUUUCCAAAUCAACCACACAAUCCCAACCCAAAGAGCAAGAAGCAGUUUUCUCCCUUUCUUCCUUCUAGCACCAAAGACAAAGGACUUAAAGUGUUGAAGAAUACCUUUAGGCUUUGCUGUUUUAAUGUCCAAACUAUUGUCCAGAUAAUUCACAAGAGAUCAAACACCGGGAAUCAUGAAUCACAAGCUGGAGGGAAAAUUGAUAUCAAUAAAUUAAGCACACAUAUUCAAUCAAUUAUGUACAAACCCUAGGUUCAAAUUAAGGAACUAGCCAGACAUAGCAAAAGAAAUCAUAAACAUAAUAAAUAAGAACACAAUAAUAAAAACUGAAUUAUAUAAAAUUCGGAAUGAAUGUUGAAUGACAGCUUGAAUCUUGCAGGAAAAUAAAGUUAAUCUAUGAAAACAAUAAAAUUCUAAGUCUAAAACUGAAAAGAUGGAAAAAAGAGGUGAAGAGAUGUAUCUAAUAGGUCAAAUAAAGGACCUAUAUAUAGGCACAGGGGAAAAAUAUAGUUCAGAGCUCGAAAAACACUGAAAAACGCAUAAAAAUAAGGUUUCCCGGACGCGCGGUGGCCUCCCUGGCGAUCGCCGCGCUCCAACAUUCCGGCAACCUUCCAGGCGGUCGCCGCCCACCGUGCAAAAUUCCUUCUUCACCCGGCACUCGCCGCCGGGUCGCCACUACUGCGCGCGACUUUCUUGUUUCAAUCAUAUCUCUCUCGUCUAAACUCUAAUUUGCAAUCUGUUUGUGCUCACGAACUCGUAUCGAGACGAACUAUAACUUCUAUUUCAGACCGUUUUUCCAAAUUCGAACUCAAUAUUCCUGUAAAUUCCUUCAAAGUACGAGCAAGGAAUAUAUUUCACAAUAUAAAGCAAUAUAAGCACAAAACAACUAUCCAACACUCAAUUUCCUAUAAAAUUGACAUCAUAUGAACACUAAAAAUCAUGAAAACAUGAGUGUUAUCAACCCGCAAGUCCAACUCUUCCCCUCACGCCCUCGUUCAAUCCCCCAAGCUCGGCAACAUUAAGUGGCUCACUGGUGCGCGGCUCGAGCUCGCCCAACGAGCCCAAUUGGAGAUGCUCUUUUUUAAGGUUAAUUAUGUUCAAAGAUUUUAUAUCCAGAAAUGAUACCUUGGAAGAAUCGGUUGGGUCUUCCAAUAUCAAUAGGUUGAUUGUUUCGCUCCUGUAUCUUUCAAAAGGAAAAAAGAUCUCUGAGAGUUGAUGAGAUUUUUUUUGAUAUGGUUCUUUCAAAAUACAAAAACCAAAACCAUAUUAAUUAUCAUCAUUUGAUAUGGUUUCUUUCUAUCUUUAAAAACAAAAGAUGUAGUUCUUCCAAAAUACUACAAAACAAAAAUUAUAUUCUCUCCGUUCCAUUACAAAUGUCCCAUUUUUUAUAAUGGGAUGUCUCAUUACAAAUGUCUCAUUCCUUUUAUGGCAAUUUAUUCACUUUCUAUACCUAAUAUUUAAAUAAUUUUUCAACAACCCAAUUUAUCUAAUUUCUACACGUUUCUUAAUUUUUGUGCUCAAAAGUAAUGAAACAUUUGUAAUGGGACGGAGAGAAUAUUAUAUCGAAAAAAAAAAUAUAUUACCAUCAGAUAUGAAAGAAUGACUAAUCCAUAAAACAUGUGGUGAUUAGGUGUGAUGUAAGCCAAUGUGAGUACGAAAGAUGAUACAAUAUCACAUAAUGUAUCAUGCAACAAGAAAGAACAAUACAUAAAGAAUGAUAACCCAAUUCGGUUAAACAAGUCUCGCCCAGGGCAAAUUAUCUAAUAUAUGAAGUCAAGAUAUACAAGGACUUACACGAUAAGACUUCAUCUUACUCAGCCUCAAUAUCUUCUCAAAACCUCACCAACGUGAACAAUUGAAAGUUAGACAACGAUUAACUUCCUAGGCGCACCUAAUCCCUUGAGAAACAAGAACCAAAUAAAGAAGAGUUUAUCACUCUUUUACAAUGUACGUUCAAGUGUAUUUCUCACAAAGACUCUUCAGCUAGAACGAAAAAAAGGUAUUGUAUCACGAAUUGUACCACAGUCCGGGGGGACACUUAGCAGGAACAUAAUAAUUCUCGACUACAUGGUAAAUCAGUUUUAAACGAAAUUCUCCAAACUAUCUUGAACGAAAUAUGGCCUCCUUAUAUAGUCUUCACGCCCUCAAUCUUACCUUGUAGCCCAAGUUAAUCCUUUCCUCAUCGUAAAAGAAAAUUGAAAGUUUUAGCUCGAUGAGGACUCAUAAGACAAAGAUGAAGUCUAUCUGUAAUUGCUAACCAAUAAUGUUGGGAAAUAUACACAAAUAAUUCCGCCCAUUAUCAAAUCGAAAGCAAUAUCAAAGAUAUAAAUUAUCUAAGACGGGAAAAAUAAUGACACCGAUAUUUAACGUGGUUCGGCCAAACUGCCUACGUCCACGGACCCACCCCAAUAUAUUAGAGAAUCUCACAAAAGGAGGAGUACAACAAUACCACACUGUAUUUUGUAUCUGCCUACGCAGAGGCUAUCUCUCAACUCACUUUUAUCACUCGUGUAUAACUUCCACACUGAAGUUUUCUCUCACAAGAUUUUCUCUCUAUCUCUCUAUCUCUCUAGCUAUCUGCUUUGAUAGUUGUGUUUGGUGUGUCUUUGCAAUGUUGUGGAAGAAGGUAUUUAUAGCAAAGUCAAGGAAGUAGGUGGCACUCAGGGUGGUAGGUGGCAAAUGGUGGAGGUGGUAGGUGGCUACCUACCUCCAUUUUUGGCUAACAAUCUCCCACUUGAAGACUGAUUUUAAUCUGUCUUCAUACCUUGAUCAUCGCAGCAGCCUUACUGUCUUCAUUGUAGAAGACCAACUGAAGUUGAGCACAACUCCAGUUUCUCUUUGCCAACUGUCUUGGUUAACAUAUCGGCUGAGUUCUUGCUUCCCUGGAUCUUCUCAAGUUGUAAGAUCUUCAUCUCCAGCAGGUGACGGAUGUAGUGAUACUUCAACUCAAUGUGCUUUGUCCUUGAGUGAAACGCUGGAUUCUUAGCCAAGAAAAUAGCACUUUGACUGUCACUAAAGAGUGUACUAUUCUCAUGCUUCUUCCCAAGUUCUCCCAAGAAAUUCUGCAACCAUACCAUCUCCUUGCUUGCUUCCGUCACGGCUACAUACUCAGCUUCCGUAGUAGACAACGUGACAAUCUUCUGCAACUUAGAAGACCAGAAAUAGCAGUACCACCAAAGUAAAUACAUACCCGGUUGUACUCUUCCGACCUUCCAGGUCAUUUGAUGCCAAAUCUGCAUCAACAUAGCCAACCAACUUGGCACUCUUGCCAUCAAAACAUAAAACCUUGUCCGUGGUACCUCUUAAGUAACGAAGAAUCCACUUGACUGCUUCCCAAUGUUGCUUGCCCGGAUCACCCAUGAAUCGGCUUACUACUCCCACUGCAUGCGCAAUAUCUGGCCUUGUACACACCAUGGCGUACAUAAUGCUGCCUAUUGCCGAUGCAUAAGGAACUCUUAUCAUCUCGGCACGUUCCUCCUUUGUACAUGGCGACUCCUUCUUCGACAGCUUGAAGUGACAACCCAACGGGAUGUUCACCGGCUUCGAAUUCUGCAUGUUAAAUCUUUCCAAUACCUUCUAAAUGUAGUUGGCUUGUGAAAGAUACAACUUUCC